rnacentral:rRNA from 1 species
CAGAUACCGCCCUAGUUCUGACCGUAAACGAUGCCAACUAGCGAUCUGCCAGUCGACUCAUCGCUCUGGUGGGGAGCUUCCCGGAAACGAAAGUCUUCCGGUUCCGGGGGAAGUAUGGUUGCAAAGCUGAAACUUAAAGGAAUUGACGGAAGGGCACCACCAGGAGUGGAGCCUGCGGCUUAAUUUGACUCAACACGGGGAAACUCACCCGGCCCGGACACCGUAAGGAUUGACAGAUUGAUAGCUUUUUCAUGAUUCGGUGGAUGGUGGUGCAUGGCCGUUCUUAGUUCGUGGAGCGAUUUGUCUGGUUUAUUCCGAUAACGAGCGAGACUCUGGCCUACUAAAUAGUUGACGCAUUGCCACUGUGCGCACAACUUCUUAGAGGGAUUUUCGGUGUUUUCAACCGCACGAAAUUGAGCAAUAACAGGUCUGUGAUGCCCUUAGAUGUCCGGGGCUGCGCGCGCGCUACACUGGCAAACGCAACGUGCCUGUCCUGCCCCGAAAGGAGCGGGUAAACCCCUGAAAUUUUGCCGUGAUUGGGAUCGGACAUUGCAACUAUUGUCCGUGAACGAGGAAUUCCUUGCAGGGGCGAGUCAUCAACUCGUCCCGAAUACGUCCCUGCCCUUUGUA